CAGACCAGGUCACUGACACUUCAGACCAGGCCAGACCGGGCCCCUGACCCUUCAGACCGGGUCAGACAGGGUCCCUGAGCCUUCAGACCGGGUCCCUGACCCUUUAGACCAGGCCAGACCGGGUCCCUGACCCUUCAAACCUGGUCAGACAGGGUCCCUGAGCCUUCAAACUGGGUCAGACCAGGUCAGAUGGGGUCAGUCCAGGUCAGACAGGGUCCCUGAGCCUUCAGACUGGGUCAGACCAGGUCAGACAGGGUCUCUGAGCCUUCAGACUGGGUCAGACCAGGUCAGAUGGGGUCAGACCAGGUCAGACAGGAUCCCUGACCCUUCAGACCGGGUCAGACAGGGUCCCUGAUCCUUUAGACCGGGUCAGACAAGUCAGACUGG